rnacentral:tRNA from 1 species
UCCCUGGCUAUCUAGUGGUUAAGAUUCUGUGCUCCCAAUGCAGCUGGCACAGGUUCAACCCCUGGUCAGGGAA